GUGGGUAUAGCUCAGUGGUAGAGCACAUGGCUAGCAAGCUCAAGUCCUAGGUUCAAUCCCCAGUAUCUCUA
rnacentral:tRNA from 1 species